rnacentral:rRNA from 1 species
UACGUAGGGGGCUAGCGUUGUCCGGAAUCAUUGGGCGUAAAGCGCGCGUAGGCGGCCAGAUAAGUCCGGUGUGAAAGUCAAAGGCUCAACCUUUGAAUGCCGCUGGAAACUGUCUGGCUUGAGUCCGGAAGGGGCGAGUGGAAUUCCUGGUGUAGCGGUGGAAUGCGCAGAUAUCAGGAAGAACACCAACGGCGAAGGCAGCUCGCUGGGACGGUACUGACGCUGAGACGCGAAAGCGUGGGGAGCGAACAGG